CGAGUAGCUGGAUUGUGAGCCCCCGCGCCCGCCCGGCUUUGCGUUUUCAGUAUGAGGGAGGCGCCUCGGCGCUGGGAGUCCUGGAGAAGGAGGGCAGGCUCUGUACCUGCCCAGACCCACCUCCCCGCACCCCAGGACCCCAACAUUGGGUGUGUGAAACCUGUUCCGGAGUUGGAGGGUGCAGGCGGGAGAGGGAGCGCCCCCCACCCACUCAGGGGAGACUUGCAUCCUGUCCGCGGAAAGGCCAGAAGGACUGAGCCCCACGCUCGCAGGUGUCUCGGAGCCGCUCAGGAGGCGCUUUGUUCUGAGUCUGGGGGACCUGGGGCCUUUUAACCCUGGUUUACCCGUGGAAGUGCCCCUGUGGCUGGCGAUUAACCUGAAACAAAGACAGAAAUGUCGCCUGCUCCCUCCAGAGUGGAUGGAUGUAGAAAAGUUGGAGAAGAUGAGGGAUCAUGAACGAAAGGAAGAAACUUUUACCCCAAUGCCCAGCCCUUACUACAUGGAACUUACGAAGCUCCUGUUAAAUCAUGCUUCAGACAACAUCCCGAAGGCAGACGAAAUCCGGACCCUGGUCAAGGAUAUGUGGGACACUCGUAUAGCCAAACUCCGAGUGUCUGCUGACAGC
rnacentral:lncRNA from 10 species